UAGUCCACGCUGUAAACGAUGUCUACUAGCCGUUGGUUUCCUUGAGGAAGCAGCGGCGCAGCUAACGCGAUAAGUAGACCGCCUGGGGAGUACGGCCGCAAGGUUAAAACUCAAAUGAAUUGACGGGGGCCCGCACAAGCGGUGGAACAUGUGGUUUAAUUCGAUGCAACGCGAAGAACCUUACCAGGUCUUGACAUCCUGAAAACUUUCUAGAGAUAGAUUGGUGCCUUCGGGAAUUCAGUGACAGGUGCUGCAUGGCUGUCGUCAGCUCGUGUCGUGAGAUGUUGGGUUAAGUCCCGUAACGAGCGCAACCCUUGUCCUUAGUUGCCAGCAUUUAGUUGGGGACUCUAAGGAGACUGCCGGUAACAAACCGGAGGAAGGUGGGGAUGACGUCAAGUCAUCAUGGCCCCUAUGGGUAGGGCUACACACGUGCUACAAUGGGCAGUACAGAGGGUCGCAAAGCCGCGAGGUGGAGCUAAUCUCAUAAAACUGUUCGUAGUCCGGAUCGCAGU
rnacentral:rRNA from 1 species